AUUGAACGCUGGCGGCAGGCCUAACACAUGCAAGUCGAACGGUAACAGGAAACAGCUUGCUGUUUCGCUGACGAGUGGCGGACGGGUGAGUAAUGUCUGGGAAACUGCCUGAUGGAGGGGGAUAACUACUGGAAACGGUAGCUAAUACCGCAUAACGUCGCAAGACCAAAGAGGGGGACCUUCGGGCCUCUUGCCAUCGGAUGUGCCCAGAUGGGAUUAGCUAGUAGGUGGGGUAACGGCUCACCUAGGCGACGAUCCCUAGCUGGUCUGAGAGGAUGACCAGCCACACUGGAACUGAGACACGGUCCAGACUCCUACGGGAGGCAGCAGUGGGGAAUAUCGCACAAAGGGCGCAAGCCUGAUGCAGCCAUGCCGCGUGUAUGAAGAAGGCCUUCGGGUUGUAAAGUACUUUCAGCGGGGAGGAAGGGAGUAAAGUUAAUACCUUUGCUCAUUGACGUUACCCGCAGAAGAAGCACCGGCUAACUCCGUG
rnacentral:rRNA from 1 species